GACGAACGCUGGCGGCGUGCUUAACACAUGCAAGUCGAACGACGUGGCGCACGGGUGAGUAAUGCUUAGGAAUCUGCCUAUUAGUAGGGGACAACAUCUCGAAAGGGAUGCUAAUACUGCAUACUACGAGAUGAGCUUAAGUUGGAUUAGCUUGGUGGUGGGGUAAAGGCAUACCAAGGCGACGACCUGUAGCGGGUCUGAGAGGAUGAUCCGCCACACUGAGACUGAGACACGGCCCAGACUCCUACGGGAGGCAGCAGUGGGGAAGAUUGGACAAUGGGGGGAACCCUGAUCCAGCCAUGCCGCGUGUGUGAAGAAGGCCUUAUGGUUGUAAAGCACUUUAAGCGAGUAGGCGUUACUCGCAGAAUAAGCACCGGCUAACUCUGUGCCAGCAGCCGCGGUAAUAC
rnacentral:rRNA from 1 species